rnacentral:lncRNA from 12 species
AUGAUACCUCAAACUAUAUUUUGUUUGUCCAUACAGGUAAUACUUUACAAAAAUUUAAAUGGGGCAUCUGUAAGAAACACUGUGACCUCUCCCCCAGGCUCAAGUCCGGUGUGGAAUUGUAGGGUUGACUGGUGGGACCUCCAACAGGAAGAAUGGAAGGUUGGCAAACUGAACCAGCUACAGAGAAUAGCCCCAGCAAAAACACCUGGGCAGGCUGAUGCCAGAAACUACCAGGAAGAGCAAGUUUGGGCAUGGUUUGGGCAAUCAUUGGCAUCAGGCAGAGACUACUGUAGCAGCCAAGAGCUCUUAUUGCCUGAGUUAAGUCCCAUGUUCCCUUUUAGCAUCCAGAAUCUAGGGGCUUCUCUCACCAACCUGGCACGGGGACGAUCCCACACUGCUGUCAUUCCUGGAGGCUAUAAUGGGGUGCCAAUUAUAAACUUAAAGAGUCAAAAUCAGAUGAAAGUUUCAAGGACCUAUGCAAGAGAUCAGUGGGAAGAAUUUGUUUCUUAAAGAGGCAGCAUAGCUCUCGGACCAGCAAGACUGGACGGCAGCCAGACCUUCUCUAUUAAUAUUUCUGAAGAACGAAACAGUCUUGGUAGUGCUGGGAAAGGUAGUCCCACACCAUCAGGAUCCAUCUGAGCAUGGUCUAGCAGAAAGGGAAUCUGGGCUGAAUUAGAGGGGCAGAUAGAGGAUCCUUGGCAAGACUCUGCCUGUGCUUGGUGAGAAGGCUCAGGCUGCUUCAGCUGAAGAAUAUCUCUCGGCUCACCUAAAUUCCCUAGCUCUCAAUUCAUGGUCAUCAAGACCUCUAGAUCUCCUAUACCAAGAGGGAAUAUACGUUUUCUGUUCCUCUUGACAUUUGUAUUUCUCAUAGUAUAUGGAAGAACCAACAUUUUGUUGGGUCUACCAUUUUCGUUCCAUGAGCUCGAUGAACAUGAGAAUACAUCUCAGACAGGGGGCCAGGAGCAAUAUCACACAAAUCAGGUUCUUGAGCCUGCCGCCUGAGGCCUAGGCCUUGUUUGAUGACAAUGUUGCUCAGUGUUUUAUUACCUUUGACUGAAAAAUAAUCUUUUACCUGGAUUGACACAUCACUUUCCUAAUUAAUUUCUUAUGUUCUGUGUCUUAAUUCUUUCCCUUCUAGUCCAUCCUGUACCUGACUGCAAAUACUUCUAUCUCCAGAUUACAUUUAAUCACAUCACCUACUCAGGAAAGUACAAGGGCUUCCUAUUGUUUUCUGAAAGAAUUUAGAGUCAUGCAACAGAUUCCCAUCAAAGAAUGCUUUGUCCCAUCCUGAAUGCCGGCCUACCAGAAAUGUGACCACCAGAGCCGGAGGGGGGGGGUGCGGGGCAGGGGGGGCGGCUGGGGAGCUUAGUCAAGUUAAGCAUCUGAUUCUUGGUUUCAGCUCAGGUCAUGAUCUCAGGAUCCAGAGAUCGAGCCCCAUCGGGCUCUGCACUCACCUCGGAGUCUGCUCAGAUUCUUUCCCACUCUUCCUUCCUCUCCCUCUGCUCCUGCCCCUGUUCACAUGUGCUAGCACUCUUUCCCCUUUGGGAUGCCUGGGUGGCCCAGCAUUUGAGUAUCUGCCUUCAGCUCAGGGCAUGAUCCUGGGAUCUAGGAUGGAAUCCCACAUCGGGCUCCCUGUCAGGAGCCUGCUUCUCCCUCUGCCUGUAUCUCUGCCUCUCUCUCUCUGUGUCUCUCAUAAAUAAAUAAACAAACAAACAAACA